CAGUAGCCGCGGUAAAACCUAGGAUGCGAGCGUUGUCCGGAUUUAUUGGGCGUAAAGAGUUCGUAGGUGGUUUGUUAAGUCUGAUGUUAAAGACUGAGGCUCAACCUCGGAAAUGCAUUGGAUACUGGCAGACUUGAGUGUAGUAGAGGCAAGCGGAAUUCCAGGUGUAGCGGUGAAAUGCGUAGAUAUCUGGAAGAACACCAGUGGCGUAAGCGGCUUGCUGGGCUAUAACUGACACUGAGGAACGAAAGCCAGGGUAGCGAAUGGGAUUAGAUACCCGUGUAGUCCCUGUCUCUUAUAC
rnacentral:rRNA from 1 species